rnacentral:rRNA from 1 species
AUGAACGCUGGCGGCGUGUCUAAGGCAUGCAAGUCGAACGACUAAAAGUGGCAAACGGGUGCGUAAGACAGUGGUAAUCUACCUCGAAGACGAGGACAACCGUUGGAAACGACGGCUAAUACUCGAUGGUCAUGGGGGGUCACAAGACAUUCCCAUGUAAAGAAUUUCGCUUCGAGAGGAACCUUUGGCCCAUCAGGUAGUUGGCGGAGUAAUAGCCCACCAAGCCUACGACGGGUAGCAGGUGUGAGAGCACGACCUGCCUCACUGGGACUGAGACACUGCCCAGACACCUACGGGUGGCUGCAGUCGAGAAUCUUCCCCAAUGGACGAAAGUCUGAGGGAGCGACGCCGCGUGUAGGAAGAAGGCCUUCGGGUCGUAAACUACUUUUCUGCGGGAAAAACUAGCGAUGGUACUGCAGGAAUAAGGGGCUGCUAACUCUGU